AACGCAAAGAACCUUACCAAGUCUUGACAUCCCUCUGACCGGAGCCUAACGGUUCCUUCCCUACGGGGCAGGGGGAGACAGGUGGUGCAUGGUUGUCGUCAGCUCGUGUCGUGAGAUGUUGGGUUAAGUCCCGCAACGAGCGCAACCCUUAUCCUUAGUAGCCAGCAAGUGAAGUUGGGCACUCUGGGGAGACUGCCAGGGAUAACCUGGAGGAAGGUGGGGAUGACGUCAAAUCAUCAUGCCCCUUAUGACCUGGGCUACACACGUAAUACAAUGGCAAUUAACAACGGGGCGCAAUACCGCGAGGUGGAGCAAAUCCCAAAAAAUUGUCUCAGUUCGGAUCGCAGGCUGCAACUCGCCUGCGUGAAGUCGGAAUUGCUAGUAAUCGCGGAUCAGCAUGCCGCGGUGAAUACGUUCCCGGGUCUUGUACACACCG
rnacentral:rRNA from 1 species